CCUACGGGGCGCAGCAGUGGGGAAUAUUGCACAAUGGGGGAAACCCUGAUGCAGCGACGCCGCGUGAGUGACGAAGUAUUUCGGUAUGUAAAGCUCUAUCAGCAGGGAAGAAAAUGACGGUACCUGAUUAAGAAGCCCCGGCUAACCACGUGCCAGCAGCCGCGGUAAUACGUAGGGGGCAAGCGUUAUCCGGAUUUACUGGGUGUAAAGGGAGCGUAGACGGCAGCACAAGUCUGGAGUGAAAUUCCGGGGCUUAACCCCGGAACUGCUUUGGAAACUGUGCAGCUAGAGUGCAGGAGAGAAGUAUGCGGAAUGCGCGGUGUAGCGGUGAAAUGCAGAGAUAUCGCGCAGAACUCCGAUUGCGAAGGCAGCAUGCCGGCUCCACACUGACGCUGAGGCACGAAAGCGUGGGUAUCGAACAGGAUUAGAUACCCCGGUAGUC
rnacentral:rRNA from 1 species